rnacentral:rRNA from 1 species
UACAGAGGGUGCGAGCGUUGUUCGGAAUUAUUGGGCGUAAAGGGCGCGUAGGCGGCCUGGCAAGUGGAAGGUGAAAUCCCUCGGCUUAACCGAGGAACUGCCUUCCAAACUGCUUGGCUUGAGUCCGGGAGAGGUUAGUGGAAUUCCCAGUGUAGCGGUGAAAUGCGUAGAUAUUGGGAGGAACACCAGUGGCGAAGGCGGCUCACUGGACCGGAACUGACGCUGAUGCGCGAAAGCGUGGGGAGCAAACGGG